rnacentral:tRNA from 1 species
UGGCGGGUCGUCUAAUGGUAGGACAACAGAUUUUGGUUCUGUUUAUCGGGGUUCGAGUCCCUGCCCGCCAG